rnacentral:lncRNA from 1 species
CUUUUCUAUCUUUUGCCCAUAGCCCUUGGCAUCCUUCCAGGACUCCCUUUCUAUAGCUCAUUAACAUCAGUCCUCUCUCCUUCUUUUCCUUACGAGAUAUUUCCAUGCUGAAGAUAGCUCUACUGAUUGCCUCUCAUUUAUUACUUCCCCUCUUCUACUCCCUUCCAAGAUUUUCAUCCCUUCUACUACUGGGAGCUCUUUCACAUCAUCUACUUUUUUUAUUACCUUCGCUUCUUCCCAGUUUACUUCCACAUUAUACUCGUACACCCUUCUUGCAAGGGCCGUUGUCAGUCUACCUUUCUUUAUAUCUUCUUCAUGCUCUCU